rnacentral:snoRNA from 1 species
UUACUUGAUGAUGAUUUUUACCGCCCCAGUCUGAUAACUGAUGACUGGUUAACAAACUGAAAGUCC